rnacentral:lncRNA from 1 species
UUUUUUAUUAGUGAAUACUUCGUUAUAUUGUCUACUGGUCUUGUGGUAUUAUGUAAAAAUGUGUCAAAGUUGGAAGAGGACACAGAUUUAGGUGUAGAAAAAAGUGUCGUCCAAACUCUGACUUUCAUGAAAGUUUACCUCUUCGAGCGGUUCAUUUGUCUCUAAAGGUUUAUCUGUCUCUAAAGAUUCAUCUGUGUCCAUUGACUUACUGCUACUAUUAUCGUGUGUGCUAUCGAAUACAUUAGAGCUACUUUCCUCAGACCCUUCAUUAGUUUUAGCACCAAU